GUUCCUAGUAGAGUGGCGAACGGGUGAGUAACGCGUGGAUAACAUACCUUUCAGUGGGGAAUAACAUCGGGAAACUGAUGCUAAUACCGCAGAUGUCAUUUCAUUGAUUUUGAUUUGACUGAAGGGGGGGCUCCUUUUGGACCUUCCGCUGAUAGAUUGGUCCGCGUCCCAUUAGCUAGUUGGUGGGGUAAAGGCCUACCAAGGCGACGAUGGGUAGCCGGCCUGAGAGGGUGUCCGGCCACACUGGGAUUGAGAUACGGCCCAGACUCCUUCGGGAGGCAGCAGUCGAGAAUCUUCCACAAUGUACGAAAGUAUGAUGGAGCGACGCCGCGUGUGUGAUGAAGGCUCAACGAGUUGUAAAGCACUGUCAGGGGGGAAGAAUCAGCGCAUAACUAAUAAAUAUGCGCUCUGACGUACCCCCAGAGGAAGCUCCGGCUAACUCCGUGCCAGCAGCCGCGGUAAUACGGAGGGAGCAAGCGUUGUCCGGAAUUAUUGGGCGUAAAGGGCACGCAGGCGGCUCGGUAAGUCGAAUGUGAAAUCUUACAGCUUAACUGUAAAACUGCGUUCGAAACUACCGAACUUGAGUACUGGAGAGGUAUGCGGAAUUCCUGGUGGAGCGGUGGAAUGCGUGGAUAUCAGGAAGAACACCGGUGGCGAAGGCGGCAUACUGGCCAAGUACUGACGCUCAGGUGCGAAAGCGUGGGGAGCAAACGGGAUUAGAUACCCCGGUAGUCCACGCUGUAAACGAUGGGUACUAGGUUUUGGAGGUCUCAACCCCUUCAGAGCCGCAGCUAACGCAUUAAGUACCCCGUCUGGGGAAUACGGUCGCAAGGCUGAAACUCAAAGGAAUUGACGGGGGCCCGCACAAGCGGUGGAGCAUGUGUUUUAAUUCGAAGCAACGCGAAGAACCUUACCAGGGUAUGACAUGUGAGCUUCGACCUUCGGGAAGAGGUUAAUCCUGUGAAAGCAGGACGAAUCACACAGGUGUUGCAUGGCUGUCGUCAGCUCGUGUCGUGAGAUGUUGGGUUAAGUCCCGCAACGAGCGCAACCCUUGCUGUUAGUUACCAUCGGGUAAUGCCGGGGACUCUAGCAGGACUGCCGGUGAUAAACCGGAGGAAGGUGGGGAUGAUGUCAAGUCAUUAUGACCCUUUACACCCUGGGCUAACCACGUGCUACAAUGGUCGGUACAAAGGGGAGCGAUACCGCGAGGUGGAGCAAAUCCCAAAAAGCCGGCCUCAGUACG
rnacentral:rRNA from 1 species